rnacentral:rRNA from 1 species
UCCGUAGGUGAACCUGCGGAGGGAUCAUUACACAACAAAAUAUGAAGGCCUGGCUUCGCGGCCGGCUGAAAUAUUUUUUUCACCCAUGUCUUUUGCGCACUUGUUGUUUCCUGGGCGGGUUCGCCCGCCACCAGGACCAAACCAUAAACCUUUUUUUUAUGCAGUUGCAAUCAGCGUCAGUAAAAACAAUGUAAUUAUUACAACUUUCAACAACGGAUCUCUUGGUUCUGGCAUCGAUGAAGAACGCAGCGAAAUGCGAUACGUAGUGUGAAUUGCAGAAUUCAGUGAAUCAUCGAAUCUUUGAACGCACAUUGCGCCCUUUGGUAUUCCAAAGGGCAUGCCUGUUCGAGCGUCAUUUGUACCUUCAAGCUUUGCUUGGUGUUGGGCGUUUUUUGUCUCCCUCUUUCUGGGAGACUCGCCUUAAAACGAUUGGCAGCCGGCCUACUGGUUUCGGAGCGCGGCACAUAUUUUGCGCUUUGUAUCAGGAGAAAAGGACGGUAAUCCAUCAAGACUCUACAUUUUUAACUUUUGACCUCGGAUCAGGUAGGGAUACCCGCUGAACUUAAGCAUAUCAAUAAGCGGAGGA